AUACGUAGGUGGCAAGCGUUAUCCGGAAUUAUUGGGCGUAAAGAGUGAGCAGGCGGUUAAUUAAGUCUGAGGUUAAAGCGUGGGGCUCAACCCCCUAAAGCCUUGGAAACUGAUUGACUAGAGUACGGGAGAAGAGAAGUGAACUCCAUGUGUAGCGGUGAAAUGCGUAGAUAUAUGGAAGAACACCAGUGGCGAAGGCGCUUCACUAGCCCGAAACUGACGCUCAGUCACGAAAGCGUGGGUAGCAAAUAGGAUUAGAUACCCUAGUAGUCCACGCUGUAAACGAUGACAACUAAAUAUUGCCGCGAGGCAGUGUUGAAGCUAACGCAUUAAGUUGUCCGCCUGGGGAGUACGGUCGCAAGACUGAAACUUAAAGGAAUUGACGGGG
rnacentral:rRNA from 1 species